rnacentral:rRNA from 1 species
AAUGAACGUUGGCGGCGUGGAUUAGGCAUGCAAGUCGAGCGAGAAUUUGCGAUUGGAAGCUUCGGCCGAAGAAAGUGAAGGAAAGCGGCAAACGGCGUAGUAAGGCGUAGGUACGUACCCUCGGGUCGGGAAUAGCCAUGGGAAACUGUGGGUAAUGCCCGAUAAUCUCUGCGGAGCAAAGGUGUGAUUCCGCCGGAGGAGCGGCUUACGUGAUAUUAGCUAGUUGGUGGGGUAAUGGCCUACCAAGGCAACGAUGUCUAGGGGGUGUGAGAGCAUGGCCCCCACGACCGGAACUGAGAUACUGUCCGGACACCUACGGGUGGCUGCAGUCGAGAAUCUUCCGCAAUGGACGAAAGUCUGACGGAGCGACGCCGCGUGCGGGAUGAAGGCCCUUGGGUUGUAAACCGCUGUCAGAGGGGAUGAAAUCUUCGGAGGUACUCCUCCGAAGUUGACAGAGCCUCAAAGGAAGCACGGGCUAAGUACGUGCCAGCAGCCGCGGUAAUGUGUG